rnacentral:lncRNA from 1 species
CCACCACUUAACUGUGGUAAAGAAUUUGACCCCAUAUACACAGUAUGAAAUAAGGAUACAAGCAUGUCAAGAAGGUGGCUGUGGGGUCAGCCGUGGUACCUUAGUGACAACUUUUGAAGCUGCUCCCAUGGAUCUGAAGUCCCCUUUUCUUGUGACAAUGGGGCCUACCAGCAUAUUGAUUAAAUGGUUACCACCUAUAAAGCCAAAUGGAGUCAUCAUCAACUAUUUUAUUCACCGAUUCUUUCAGUGGUUCCAGAUCUAACGCG